GGGGAUCUAGCUCAUCGGUAGAGCGCUCGCUUAGCAUCUUCUAACCAAGAAUGCGAGAGGUGCAGGGUUCGACUCCCUGGUUCUCCA
rnacentral:tRNA from 2 species